AGUGAACGCUGGCGGUAGGCCUAACACAUGCAAGUCGAACGGCAGCACAGUAAGAGCUUGCUCUUACGGGUGGCGAGUGGCGGACGGGUGAGGAAUACAUCGGAAUCUACUUUUUCGUGGGGGAUAACGUAGGGAAACUUACGCUAAUACCGCAUACGACCUACGGGUGAAAGCAGGGGAUCUUCGGACCUUGCGCGAUUGAAUGAGCCGAUGUCGGAUUAGCUAGUUGGCGGGGUAAAGGCCCACCAAGGCGACGAUCCGUAGCUGGUCUGAGAGGAUGAUCAGCCACACUGAACUGAGACACGGUCCAGACUCCUACGGGAGGCAGCAGUGGGGAAUAUUGGACAAUGGGCGCAAGCCUGAUCCAGCCAUACCGCGUGGGUGAAGAGGGCCUUCGGGUUGUAAAGCCCUUUUGUUGGGAAAGAAAAGCAGCAGGUUAAUACCCCGCUGUUCUGACGGUACCCAAAGAAUAAGCACCGGCUAACUUCGUG
rnacentral:rRNA from 1 species